rnacentral:miRNA from 1 species
UGUGUGUGUGCGUGUGUGUGCGCACGCACGCCUGUGCGUGUGUGCGUGUGCGCGCGCACACACACACACACACACACACACACACUUCCAUAUAU